UAAAAGUCGUAACAAGGUUUCCGUAGGUGAACCUGCGGAAGGAUCAUUAACACUUAUCCAAACCUACUCAACCAAGCCAUACUGUUGCAGAGCGCAAGCUUUGCAGCUUAAAUCUAACCUAAAGAAGCUUAACUAAGCCAACCUAAAACUAAAUCCUCAACGAUGGAUGUCUAGGUUCCUACUACGAUGAAGAACGCAGCGAAGUGCGAUAAGCAAUGCGAAUUGCAGAACCGGGAGUCAUCAGAUUUUUGAACGCAACUGGCUCCUGGGGGUCCUCCCCCAGGAAUGCUUCUUUCAGUGUGUUCUUAUCUCCUCACCCAAACCUUAAUGCGAUAGAUGCCCUUCUAUUGCUAAGCUCGAAAGCACUCUGAGCUCUGCAGCGACUGUCCUCGGACGGUUGCACUCAAUGCAGCAGUCACAUUUUCUAAUGUGAACUCAUUGGGAGUAGAGUCAGCGCAUGUCUCAUGCCAGUGCUUAGACACUCAAAUUUUCACAGCAUCUGAGAUGAAGUAGGACCACCCGCUGAACUUAAGCAUAUCAAUAAGCGGAG
rnacentral:rRNA from 1 species